GACGAACGCUGGCGGCGUGCUUAACACAUGCAAGUCGAACGGAAAGGCCCUGCUUUUGUGGGGUGCUCGAGUGGCGAACGGGUGAGUAACACGUGAGUAACCUGCCCUUGACUUUGGGAUAACUUCAGGAAACUGGGGCUAAUACCGGAUAGGAGCUCCUGCUGCAUGGUGGGGGUUGGAAAGUUUCGGCUGUUGGGGAUGGAUUCGCGGGUUAUCAGCUUGUUGGUGGGGUAGUGGUUUACGAAGGCUUUGACGGGUAGCCGGCCUGGGAGGGUGACCGGGGUCAUUGGGACUGAGAGACGGAGCAGUAUGGUACGGGACGCAGCAGUGGGGAGUAUUGCACAAUGGGCGGAAGUCUGAUGCAGCAAUGCCGCGUGCGUGAUGACGGCCUACGGGGUGAAAACCGCUGUCGCCUGUGACGAAGCGUGAGUGACGGUAAUUGGUAAAGAAGCACCGGCUAACUACGUG
rnacentral:rRNA from 1 species